GUGGACUUAUUUUUCACUCCUUAUUAGUUUACUACAAAGUAAUUUAACUAUUACGGAUACGCAUUCAAUUAUAUCAAAUACAUACAUGAUACAUAUUACACAAAAGAUGUUCAGAUAAAGUUAACUCGAUAUGAGGAGGGCACCAGUAUUCUUGUUCAGGAUGAGCAGCAGGUUAAAUGUGUCGAGUUUCAGCACGAGAAUUUCUGAAGAGCUCAACCUCAUCUGUUAAGCUUCAUCUGCAGGAAGAUGAUGAUAUAGGGGGCAGCUGUGGUCUUAUGGUUAGAGAAUUGGACUUGUAACCCAAAGGUCGCAGGUUCGAGUCUCUGUGCUGGCAGGAGUUGCAGGUGGGGGGACGUUAAUGAACAGUGCUCUCUUCCACCCUCAAUACCCAUGGCUGAAGUGUCCUUGAUCACCCUCAGUUGCUCCCCGGGCAUUGGAUAUAUAACUGCUCAGGGUGUGUGUUCACUUCUUGCUGCUGUGUGUGUGCACUUGGAUGGGUUAAAUGUAGAAAACCAAUUCUGAGUAUGGGUUACCAUACUUGGCAAAUGUCAUGACUUUCAUAAAGUUCAGUCAAAUGACUGU